rnacentral:lncRNA from 1 species
GAACCCGAACCAGUCCCGUCCCCGAGCCCCCCCGCAGAGCCAGGCGGCCCGCGGCCCCUUACCUUGGCCUGGCAUUUCCGAUGACAGGAGAAGCUGCAGACUGCGAGAGGGCGAGACACAGAAAGAAAGUUUAGCCGCGAGGUAUGAAAUGGAAACUCCGGCGAAUCUCCUCCCACCCCCGCCCGCACUCCGCGCUUGGGAGGGAAGGAGGGAAGGAGGGAAGGAGGGACGGAGGGAAGGAGGGAAGGAGGGACGGAGGGAGGAGGCGGCGGAGGGGGGCCGCUGCCGCAGCUCCCCGGGGCCCGCGGGGUGGGACUGCGGACCCUCCGGCUGGGGAGGCACCGAGCCCCCAUCACCAGAGCCCCUGGGGCAGGCCUGCGAAGGUGGGAGGAACAGGAGGAGGGGAGGGGGGGACAGACUCCCCCGCUGGAUCCCUGCCAGGGGCAGAGGUGGCCCGGACCCAGGCCCCAUGCCAGCCGUGCCAAGGAAUAACGGGGGCCUUCUCCCCUUACACACACACACACACACACACACACACACACACAAACACACGUGUGUGCGCGCACGCCAGGAAGGCAGUCGGCACCCCAGGAACCACAAUCGCACUCACUCUCCCCUAGAGAGGGACACACGAACCCGAUUUACAGUCCAGGAGAAGACCGGUGCACACACACAUUCGCAUUUACACCCAUACACACACAGACUCACCCAUAACCACUUAUACCCGUACACUCAGCCAGACGUGCAAACAUAACCAUAUGUACACAUAUAGCCUCACACACACUCACACUCAUGCCCAAGGGAAACCUCUGACUCAGGGACACCAACACACAGCCUGACACGGACGUGUAGACACAGACACACGGACAGAUGCUCACACAGGCUCACAACCUUCUUGUCCAUCAUUUGAAACACACACACACACACACACACACACACACACACACACACAAAGGACUUAAUUCUGCCCUCCCACUACCAGAAGCUGGAAUCAAAUUUCCUCUGGGGUUCCCUCCGUCUGGAAUGUCCCAGCCCUGCCUGCCCCACCCACAGGGCCCUCCACCCUGGGGUUUGCUGGUCCCCUCCCACCAAGUCCCACAGAUGGAGUGAGGGGUCUCCUGAGCUGAGCUCCUACACGGACUUGACCUUAUUUGCUACCCACGACCUGCUGAGACAGUGGGUUAGCAGCACUGGUUAGAGAACAGGGGUCGGGGAGGCAGGGGAGCUGCUGCAACCCCAAAUCCUUGGUAGCCACAGCCAACUGCCCUGACCUCUUGGAUCCACAGUUCCUCCAAUCCUUUUCUGUCUUUGAGCCAACUUGAUUCUCAGCAGAAUGCAAAAGGGGAGACUGAGGCACAGAGGAAGGCCCAGAGUUGCCAAAAGAGGCUCUGGGGCUCUCCAUACCAAGGCUUCUGAUUGGUCUGUGGGAGUGGAAGUCCAGAGGCACAAUGGGUGGAGCCUAGGAUUUCAACCUUGGCUAUUGGCCCUCCUCGCCUGGGACCUUGUUCUCCCAGAACCUAGCCCUGGCCCCAGCUCAGGCCUGUGACUCAGCUGCUGCUGAACAAGGCUUUCCUGACCCCACCAGCCACCCAGCCCAGCUCAGGGACUUCUCCGCCCCUGGCCACACCAAGACGUAUCCACCCCUGGCCACCCAAAACAAGUCAUGCCCAUCUGCUAGCCUUUCUGCUUCUCUGUGUCCCCACUCUCACUACCCCAGCGUGGCAACUCCCCUUCAGACUCCCCAGCCCCACCCCCACGCCUUCUUUUCUGGCCUCAGAAUAUGGAAUUGAGAAAGCCUCAGGCUGAGUGUGGCCUGAGCUCUGAAGGCCUUUCCAGCCAGACCGGCCCCCCACUGGGCCACUACCUCCAGCCUGAAGGAGCUUUCCCCUUCCUCUGCUAAUCAAAUCCCAGGCCUUCAGGAAAAAGUCCUGGGCCCCUCAUCUGGAGGCCUUCCUCACUGUUCCCUACCUCCUUGCAGGUAUCACCAGAGAGAGCAUGUUUCCCAUCACCUCCUUGGUUCCUACAGCUGUGGGCUCCUUCAAAGGAAGGAUCUCUCUCUCUCUCUUUCUCCCUCCCUCCCUCUCUCUCUCUUUCUCUCUCACACACACAUACACACAUACACACACACACACACACACACACACACACACACACACUACACAGUGCCUGGUAUACAGUAGAGGUUUAACAAAUGAUUGAUGAGUUGGACCUGACUGAAGAUCUCCCCUGGAAUCUAUGUACACCCCCAUUUAAUCAUUCCCACCCCACUCUCAGCCUUUCCCUGAGCCAUACUCUGCCCCCAAUAUUUAACUAUCCGUUAAAAUGGAUCCCUAAGUUAUCCAAUCUGGGCCUCCUGAUCCCAGUCUAGAUACCAACAGCCAGGAUUCCAUCUUCCUCCAGUAUCAUACUGCAUACCUGACAGUUCACAGAAUGCACCAAACUCUUGCCUGCCUCAGGGCCUUUGCACUUGCUGUUCUGGCUGCCUGGAACACUCUCCCUCACCCCAGCCGUCUAUUGUUCCCCAAGCCAAAUCCUUCUCCUACUUCUAGAAUCCACCACAAGCCAGAUAUCUAUCUCCCCAAAGAGGCUUUUCCUGACCACCCAAAUUACAUUACGUACUUCCAAUAUUCUUUCUCAGUGGUACCCUGAUAAUUUCCUUCUUAAUACAGUUCACAGUCUGAAGUCAACAUGGGCAAUUCCUGCUCAUUUAUGAAUAGUGCCUCUCCCUACACUAGACUCACCAGGACAAGGAGCAUGCCUGUCUCAUUCGCACCAUAUCCCCAGUAGCUAGAACGGUAUCUGCUCCAGCCCACAACAGCAAACAGCAGCUUUGUGCAAAUUAGAAAAAGGCUUACCCUCUGAGCAAACCAACCCCUUGGACACACAGCUGAGUAGAGUAUCUUUGUGGAAAUGGCAAGGAGGUGCCUUCUCUCCAGGCAGACCCCACUCUGUACCUGAGUGUGUGGUUUGGAGAGCAAAGAGUGGCUGCUUCCAGGGCUCCCUCGGGUAGGUGCCCUUGGCAGUGAACAGCCUGCAUGACCAUACAGGGCAGCCCUGCCUAUCACACAGUGGGCAGACACUCUACAAAUGCCCUUGAAUGGAGGGCAGAUGGAGAAAUCAUCGGGCAACUGCAGUACAAUGUUCUGAGGGCUCCCUGCGUGCUGGAAUGCAGAGAACUUGCCCUUGAAAGCUCUACAGUGGGGAGCAAGGGAAGACCUCCCCCAACCCCCCAGAGCCCAGAAGACAAAAGCUCGGCAAACUCAACUCAAGUGGCAGGUUCCAAGCAGCUCUGCUGAGAGCUUUUGACACCUUAGGAGCACCUGCCCACCACUCCCCAAGGAGGCCCUCUUGCCCUGAGUGCCCUCCAGGGACUGUGCGCUCACAAUCUUAGUCACCCCUUCUCAGCAACCCCCCACACACCCGGGGCAGUAUUUCCUACUCUGACUUGCACAUCCCCUCUGCUGUAAUUUGAAACUUGAGCGUGACAUUCUGCUGGCUUCUCACUUCCCAGAUCAAUGGCACCUCCUGGAACCCUCUCCCACAAUGAACAGGGCUGCUUUAUACACCCAACUGAAUAUCAUCGAAAGGCUGCUGUGUGACUUCUGGGGCUCAGUCAUCAAAGGCACUGUGGCUUCAGCCCUGGUCUCUUGGAUCACUUGCUGGGGCAGAAGCAAGUCCCGAUGCCACGAGGCGCUAUAGAGAGGGCCAUGCGAGGAACGGCCGCGGCCCCCUGCCACCGGCCUGCGCCCAUUUGUCAGGCACAGGCCCGGGCCACCUGGCAAGUGGAUCCUCCAGGCCCUGUCUGUCAGGCCCUCAGAUGACUACCGCCCUGGCCACAGCUUCAUGAGGGACCCAGGGUCCAAACCACCCAGCUAAGUCACACGGGAACCCCUGACCCUCAGAAACUCUGUGACAUAAUAAUUGCAUAUUUAUUGUAAAUUGCUAAGUCGGGGGAUGAUGUGUUAAGUAGCUACAGAUAAACCACACAGAAACCAGGGCACAGGAUCCCUCAGAAAGCAAGAGGCUAAAGGCUGUUGCUGGGAAUUGAGGCCAGAGGCCAUCUCCUCAGUCCUGCCUUGCAUCCUGGGACCAGCAUGCUCCUCCCCGUAACCCCUUCUCCCCUCUCCUUACCCUACAAUACGAUUAGUCAUCCUGUCCCAGAAAGUAACUCCAAAGAGGCUGUUGGAUCCCCCUUUUCCUGCCAGCCCCCCACCACUGCACCAGUUCGGGCCAAUUAUCCUUCCCUGGGUCCCGUCUCCCCUCCGGCCUUGUCCCCCUUCAAUCCACAGAACCACAGACCAUUCUCGAGUGCAAACCGAUCGCAUUUAUACUCCUUCUUAGAAACACCUGGUCCAGCACCUCAGCACGCUUAUAAGGCCCCGCACAGGCAGGUCUUGUCUUCGCCUCCAGCCACUGCCCCAAAAGAGAUCUGUUGCUGCCACAGUGAACUCCCCCAAAGGACACUGAGGCUAGUAGGCCUGAAAUGGUGAACUCAUAUACAUCCUCUGAGGCCCAGUUCGAAACGCCCCUCCCUAGAUGAUCAGGCACUCAAAGGCACCUCCUCUGUGCUCCCAGGCAGGUCCUGUUCGACUUGGCAGCUUGGUAUCCUGCCCCUUCUCCUAGCACAGGGUCUGACAUACAGAUGGGGCUCAACACACGUGGAGUACACUUAAAACUGGAAAAAUUCUCCCCAGCCCAAACCACUGGGACUGGGGCUGAUGUUCCAGGGCAAUGAAACAGACACAAGAGAGGGUAGGUAAGCCCUACUUUUCAGCUCAGCUCCUGCUGGGAAAGGGCAAAUAGGGACUGUGGUCAGUGCUUUCCGAGUGUGUCAGUACAAAUAUCACCUAUGAUCCAACCUGGUCCAGCUCUCCAUCUACCCACUUACCUACCUGGCUGCGUGUAGACUGGCUCUCAGCUCAGAUGUAGGUCGUGCUCUGUGACCUGGGACAAGUUACUUAACCACUCUGAGCCUUAAUUUCCUCAUCUAUAAAAUGGGGGCAAUAACCGUAUCUACUUUACAGGGUUGUUAUGGGAAUUAACUGACUCCCUAUAUGUGGGCGACCCACAGCAUAGCAGCUUUUCAUCCCUGCUGUUAUUAUACUGGAGAGCCCCCAACUCCUAGUCAGGAGGCCCGGCUUCCGGUCCCAACGGCCAUCAUACAGUUGUGUGACGUGAGGCAAGUCAUUCCCACUCUCUGGUCCCCACCACGCCCUGCUGACUCACACUCAUUUGCCUACAUUACCCCUGAAGUUCCCUACAUCACUGAGCCCUGGAACAGAUGGUCCUCAAGCCCUCUUCCAGCUGUGACAGUCUGUGUUACCCACUGGUCUCCCCACCAGUCACCACCUGUCUCUUCCUCCCUCCAGCGAACAGCGAAGAAAGCGGGGGAAGCCCAGGUUCCAACCCUGCGCACAUCCCACACACUGGAGGAAACACCCAGCCUGUGAUUGACAUGGAUGCCCACUCCACACUGUACCACACCUCACUGAGGGUCAAGGGCAGGAAUACGCCAACCUUCCCAGCCUGAUGUCCUCCGCGCUUGAGUCCUUCCCAGAUGCACAUCUCAGGAUCAACCCCACCUGAGCGAACCGUGGCCCUCCCCAGCUCCCACAGAAGACAGUGGCCUCUGAAGCCAGUGACUCUGCAAGAUGAAGCCCCCUGGGGAGGGAUCCCAUCAAACCAAAGCAACGUGCAGCCCCCAGAGUCCCAUCUCUGCCCAUGGGUGUCAACAGGGACCCCCACACAGCAGGGCACCUCCCCUGCCUUCCAGGCUCCUGAUAUACCACCCGGUGGCCUAAGAGGGAGCUGAGAGCCCCAUAGUGUAGAGGGGUCCAUAGGUUACCUUCUGGGGUGGAAAAAUGCACCCCCAACCCCAGCCCUCAGCCAGCUCCCGCCUCACUGGCUCACUGGGCUGCCAGGACUCUGUCCUGAGGUGGCUUCCUGCCUCUCAGGAACACAGGAAGCCAACAUUGUUGGGAUCUAAAUGGCCUUUUCCUCCUGGCCUCGGCUUGGAAAAUGAGCACAUAGCCUCAGUGUGCACCUGACCCCAGCAAUAACCGCCCACACCCCCAGUGGGCCUCAGCUUCUUCCCCUGGUCACUUGCUGACUGAGUGACCAGCCCAGCCACCCACCUGCCCACCCAGCCUAACAGCCCUUCCCUGCUCUGCUGAUCUCCAUGGCCUUGGGCAGGCCAUGGUACUCAAAUAGUUGUUCAACAUUAUUCUAGUUGUUUCUAUGAAGGGGUUUUUUUUAUGGAUAAGAGUAACAUUUAAAUCAGGAGACUUUGAGUAAAGCACAUUAACUUCCAUAAUGUGGGUGGGCCUCAUCCAAUCAGUUGAAGGCCUGAAUAAAACAAAGACCUCCUCAAGCAGGAAGAAAUUCUGCCAACAGACUAGUUUAGAACUUGAACUGCAAUGCCCUGGGUCUCCAGCCUGAUGACCUACUCUGCAGAUUUUGGACUUGCCAAGUCUCUGUAACUGCAUGAGCCAGUUUCUUAAAACAAAUCACCUACCUAUCUCUAUCCAUCCAUCAACUACCUACCUAUCCAUCCAUCCAUCUAUACACACAUCCUGUUGGUUCUGUUUCUCUGGAGAACCCCAACUAAUACAAGGGAUGGUCAGAAGUACGGGCGCCAUGAGACUUUGAAGUUGAGCGAGAAGAAACUUCUAGAUCAUCCCGUCCAGUGCUUUUGAAACUUUCAUGCACAUGGACUCCUAUGAUAUUGGUUACCAUCAUGCGCAUGGACUCCUUUGAUAUUGGUUACCAUUCAGGAAUGCUCAUUCUGUACCAGGCUCUGUUCUGAGCCCUUUAUGUGUACAUAUUAUCUCAUUUCAUCCCCAAAGUAACUCAAGGAGAGAGGUGUGUGAUGUGUGUCAUUUGAAAGGAGAGGUAACUGAGGCUCAGAGGGGUUAUGCGACCUGCCUAAGUUCUCACUUGUAAGCGGUAGAGCUGGGAUAUGAAUUCAGGAUGCCUGGGCUAAGUACAAAACCACCAUCCAUUCUGCCUCCUGAUACAUUUAACUCCCACAACCAGAGCUUUUCUGAUUCAAAUGGGCAGGGGCUCCAGAGUCUCAGCCCCUCAAGCCUUCCCUUGGAUUUCUCCUUUUUCCUACCUUCUCAGGCCCCUAAAGUAUCUCCAAAAAAAAAAAAAUUCAGUUCCUUUGGAGAACAGUUUAGAACCUCUAAUCCAGUCCAAUCCCUCUUUUAGAGAAAGGGGAAAGUCAGGCCCAGAGAGGUUAAGUGUCUCACCCAAGCUUACACAGCCAGACCGGAGCAAGCCACAACAAGAACCCGGGGUCUUUCCACCCUACCAGGCUGCCUCCAAUGAUUCCAAAGAGGUCCUCAGACACAGGGCGAAAGCUGUCAUUGUCAGUGAAAUAACAGAGGAGAACGAGCUCCCUGAAACAAGUUUUCCCCAAAUCCAACCAGUAAGGGCUUCUGAGUAGGCUUGUCCCACUGAGAGGUGAAUUGUCUUCCCCGGGUACAUCCCACUCUGGGGAGGCAGCAGGAACCUCCCCUGCCUUCCAGGCUGGUCAGUGGCAUUGAGAAGGGAGGUAGUCUAAAACUAGGCCUACAUCCAGGCCCAGAUGGCAAUCCUUGGGCUCUGGAGCCGGCAUUUUGGUCUCUCCUCUCAGCUUUCAGCCUAGCAGAAGGCUAGAGCCCUUUAGCAAGGCCCUAGACUCCCUAAAGCACUGUCCCCAAGGACCUGGGGGAAACCCACCGUUUGACCUGAGGAACUCAUAAACAUCCCUCCAGACCCAGCCUCCUUCUGCCUUCCCUGAUGAAGCCUAACAGGAAAAUCUCUGCUAAGUCAGAGACAACCUUUCUCAUACACCUCUGUGUCAGCUUGGCCACAUGUUCUGUGAUUGUCUGAUGGCAUGUCUGUCUUCCCAGGUCAGGGGCUGGGUCUCGGCACCAGUACCUGGUACAGCGUCUAGCCCAGAGGGCCCUUAGUUCACGACUGCCAGGUGGAUGUCCUUGUGUGUGCAGGAGGUGAGGUGGCAACCUACACUGGGAGACUUAUCUAGCCUUUACAGACUCCAACAGAGGACUUUUCCAGGCCCUCCCACUGGCCGGGGCUCAGGGAGCAUUCUUGGUCCAGCCCCUUCUCUACAGUUGAGGAAACUGAGUCCUGAGUGGUGACGUGAUCUAUCUGAGGUCAUACGGCCUGUGAGUGGCAGGGCCAGACAGAGUGCCUGGACCGCUAACAAAGGCCUGGGGCCUCUUCUCCUCCCAUUGUCUCAUCCAUCUGUCUCCCUCACAGGGAGCCUUAGUCCAGAACACUGGUAUUCAUUUUACAGCCACACACACAGAACCUCAGUGUUCCUCGCAGUAACCAACCCCCCAGAGACGCAGGACAGGGUUUAUUACUAACCCCAUGGUACACAGGAGGAAACCCCAUGGUACUCAGGGAAGGAAAAGACUGGUGACAGUCUCACAGUGACCUCUCUGCCUGUAUAUCAGUCAUACUUAUUCCCAAAUGUCCUGCCACCUUCGUUCUUUGCCUGCAUUGUCCAUCUUUGAGUCUCCCCGUCCAGAACUAGACCCUAGGUUCCCUGACUCCUUUCCCCAUCCCCAUCAUCGACCCCAACCCCUUCAGCCAUAGUACAUUAAACAGUGAAAUGCGGCAGGCAGGGAGCAGAAGACUGGUCCAAGCUAUAGAGCAGGUCAGCCAGAGGGAGACAGGACAAAUGCCCCCAUUUCUCUAGAUCUAGGAAAGUGCCCUCACUUUCCAUGCCUGCACUUGGAGUGCCCUCAGCACCGCAAGGAGACUGAAUUCAGAGCCUUGAUGUUCCAUGCACCCCUCCACACUCAUCAGCCUCAGCCACUAAUCCAGAGAAUGACCAUGUUGUAACCCCAGACUCGAAGACCAAAAAAGGAACCAGAGAGCACCACAAACCCUUCGGUUUGGGCUUGGUGAACAAAACAUGACCUGGGUUUUAGUCCACAAUCACCCCCUUAGCCGGGGAACAACCUGUACAACCAUAGCUGGUGGCCGCGGAUGGAUGGGUGGGUGGGUGGAUAAGGGGGUCUGUCCAUCUUGUGCCACCUUCUGGUUCCAAAACACAGAGAGUUGGCCCACUCCUGUAUCUCUCACCAGCAAGCCCAGUGGCUCCAACCCCGUCCCCAGGCCUGGUGACCCCAACCCUCUGCUGAGAAUGCACAUCGUAGUCUCCUGUAGAGCUGGGAGUCUUCAAUCCUCCCUUGCUGGGCCCAGCCCCAGCCCUUCCAUGGCCCAGUCCUGACACCUGGUGGUGCCUCUGGGCUGCAGUCCUGGCUUUCUUCCCACUUCUCAAUAACUCAUUCAGAGCUGCCAAACCAGCCUGGCAGCUCACUGGCCACCUGCCCUCCACUCUGGUUCACACCGGCAGGGCCAGGCUCCGAACCAGGUAAAACCCAGGUCUCACCUUGGCGGCCUUCCCUUCCCACAGGUUCACAUCCCCUCCUCAACCCAGGCCUUCAAGCCAGGUCAACUGGGGAACUUAGGACUACAGACUAUUACAGAAUUUGCAGCCAGAGAUGUGCCAAGGUCAGACACUGAGUGCCAGACUUCCUUCUACCCCACCCCUGUUCUGCCUCCUAUCAGAGGAGUGCUGGCGGUCUGGGGUGAAGGGAAGGCACACCAGGGAAGGAAGGAAGGAACUGGUGGGAGGUGGAGGGAAUGGAGGCUCAGGGGCUAACUUCAGCAGGCUCACCCGGCCGGGUGGGGUGGGGGCGGUGACGCAAGCAAAAUGGAAAACGCCGCCCCCAGCAAUCCCCUCCUGACUCUCCCGGCUCCCACCCUAACCCAACACCGUCCCAGCCGGACCUCUUGGGAGGAGGGUGACACCAUGCGGCUUACUUUGGUACUGCAAAAGUCCCUGUUGGCCUCCUAAAUUCCUUCCGGGCGUCCCAGCUCUUCAGUCAAGGACCAUUAACCUCUGCCCUUUGCGCAUAGCAGGACGUGCCUAGAAUGCCUCCACGUGCACAUUCGCACACACUCACACAUUCCCAUCCACCCACUCCCCCCUCCAACAUACUGCUGAAACUCCUUGUCUAGGAGGACUUCCCUCCCCCAGAGAGCACACCCCCGACAACCCCACUCGGACCCAGCCAGCUGUGUGCCUUGGCAAGAGACUUAACCACUCUGAGCCUUGGUUUCCUCAUCUGUAAACUGAGGGCGACACCAGCACUUUCCGGAGGCUGCGAGCCCUGCAGGAGAUCCAUGUGAGUGCUUUCAUACUAAGUGCUUUCGUGAUUGCUCCCUAGGCUCUGAUGCCCAGCUUCCCAGCCCCACCGAGACUGGCAGGGAGGGAGGGGAGAGUCCGGGUAGAGCCACGUGAGUGAAGACCCUCGGGCAAGAAGGAGCCUGGCCCCUCUGGUAUGUUUGAUAUACUUGGCGUAUUCCAGAACUGAGCGAGGUGCAGCCGGGGUGAGUAUGGGCUUGGGGGACAGGGCGGAUGGGUCAGAGAGCUGGCACAGGGUGGAUCCUGCUGGGCCUAAGGAGUCAGUGCUUUGUCUUGAGGGUAGUGGGGGCUCCCAAACCUUUUCCCAGGGAGCUGACAUGACCAGAUCUAUGUGGAGUCCCACUCGGAGCUGGUGAGGACGGUGGAUUGGAGAGGGCGGGCCAGGAAGCCAAGAGCUGAAGUCAGCCCUCCGGAUGACAGGUGCUGCCAGCCUGAAGUGGAGAGGCUCAGUGAUCCAAACUACACUGGGGGCCCUGGCGAUUGAUGGGAGGCAGGGUGGGCAGGAGAAGGAGGCAUCUGGUAGGGCCGCUGGGCGGGGGGGGUGUCAGUCACUGUCACUGAGACUGUGCGCGGGGGCCCCCUGCUGAUUUUACUGUGUGAUCUGGGGCAAGACACUGACCUCUCUGGCAACAGUCACAGCCAAAUCCCAGGCCGUGUCAGAAGCACAUGAGAACAGUGAUUGAAAAAGCCCAGAAGGGGCGCCUGGGUGGCGCAGUCGGUUAAGCGUCCGACUUCAGCCAGGUCACGAUCUCGCGGUCCGUGAGUUCGAGCCCCGCGUCAGGCUCUGGGCUGAUGGCUCAGAGCCUGGAGCCUGUUUCCGAUUCUGUGUCUCCCUCUCUCUCUGCCCCUCCCCCGUUCAUGCUCUGUUUCUCUCUGUCCCAAAAAUAAAUAAACGUUGAAAAAAAAAAAUUUAAAAAAAAAAAGAAAGAAAAGAAAAAGCCCAGCAGCCGCCAGGCUCUCCCCCAAGUCGGAUUCAGAGCCUCUUGCACUCCUCCCUAGCUUUGGCGUCUUCCUCAGUGCCAGGCACACAUCCACACACCAUCCCCAUGCGACACCCCUUCUGCGUGCCUCCUUCAUAUCAUCCACAUGCAUCCCGGCCAUUCGCUCACAAGCCACAGGUCAUGCCCGUGCCACCCACACCUGCCAGGUACCAUCCACACACACCCACAAGCUUGCCAUCUGGUGUGCGUAGCACCUCUCCCCACAGGAGAACCAGGCACAAGGCUAGGACCCCGAGGACAUCUGCCCCGGCCCCAGGCCACCUCGUUCCCAUGACAGUGCUCUCCCCACCACCCCCUCCCCCAGAGCCUGGCCAGCUGCUCACCUUUGCAGGUGCAACCCUCCCGGGUGAUGGCCUGUCGGCAGAUACCACAGGGCUUCACCUUCUUGAAGGUCUUCACCUUGAAGUGGUGAGUCUUGGGGGCCUCCAGAUCCUCCGGCUGUGUGGGGGAGAGGCACAGUGAUCAGGCCUGGGCAGAAGACCGAGGAAGGAGGCAGAGGGGACUAGGGGACAAGUGGGCAAGGACUGGGGAAAAGGAGAAGUGAGAGCCCCGUCAGGGGUGACAGGGCUGGGCCCAUUUCUGGGAGGAGGUGCCCCAGGAAAGAGAAAGCUGAGUGUGACCCAGACUCCCACAAUUAGGUGGGUCAGCCUACCGGGACACUGAUUUUAAAUGGAUUGCUCAAUACGGUUUUACACGCACAUACCGCACAACCACACCCCGGGAGGCUGUCUCAUGGCCGACCCGGUCAAUAGCCCCCUAAGGUAAGUACUGUGGCGACUCCUUUCACCAAAGAUGCAUUUUGCCGGAGCUCUAAGCUUCACUGUGAGGUUUCUGUCACUCAGGAUUAAUCCUUGGGGUUUAUCCACACAGUCGCACAGAGCAGCAGCACCUCAUUUUCAUCACCGUGUGUGAUCACAGCUAAUUCCUUUCCCUGUCCGUGUCCCCAUGUCGCCAAUGUGCCACGUCCCUCCAUUCUCUCUCACCCCCAUCCCUACCACCUCCUGCCCCAGCCCGGGCUUCUUCCAUCUUUAUUUUUGGUUCUUUGCACUAUGAAAAUUAAAUCUCCUUUUUAUUUAUUUAUUUUUUCACAUUUAUUUAUUUUUGAGAGAGAGAGAGACAGAGGGUGAGUGGGGAAGGGGCAGAGGGAGAGGGAGACCCAGAAUCCGAAGCAGGCUCCAGGCUCUGAGCUGUCAGCACAGAGCCCGACGCGGGGCUCAAACUCACGAACAGCUAGAUCAUAACCUGAGCUGAAGUCGGAUGCUUAACCGAGUGAACCACCCAGGUGCCCCUUUAUUUAUUUAUCUAUUUAUUUAUUAUUUAUUUAUUUAUUUAUUUAUUUAUUUAUUUAUUUAUUUAUUUAUUUUUAAGUAGGUUCCACACCCAGCACGGAGCCCAACACAGGGCUUUAACUCACAACACUGAGAUCAAGACCAGAGCUAAAAUCAAGAGUUGGAUGUUUAACCAACUGAGCCACCCAGGCAGGCGCCCCUUAAACCUCCUUUUUAAAACGACAGCACCACACACAUGCGAUGAGAGGCAGGCUGACAGUCCAGCCUUCUCUGUGUCCGACCGGCCGUGAGCCCCGAGCCAGUCACCAGCCGCCGCUGCCACAGGCCUCGGUUUCCUGCUCUGGAUGGCACGAGGUUGGGCACCACACCCUCAAACUCUGACAGUCUGUCCUUUGUAACCACAUAUGGGAACACACUCUAAGCCACAAAACCCUGCACCCACACUGCCUAGGACCCCCUCCUCCCAUCUGCAGCCCUCAGCCCAGGCCCAGGCUCAGGGAGCUUCCCGUGGAUGCCCUGGGAAGCCAUCCCUGCCCACGGGCACCAUGCCUCUCCAAGGCCCCUCACCCUGGUGUCCAACCUGAUGCAUUUCCCGGCUUUGGCAGCAGGGGCCGGCAGAACACAGACAUCGGCAGCUCCCUCACCCUGCGCAGGGCUCCCUGACACCCCUCUGCACACACAUGGCCACACACAGAGACACAACCUAUAGCAGACCCUGAAGUCCCAGGGGAGGGUUCUUCUCUUCAAGGUCCCCCUCCUUGUGCCCUGCUCCAGAGCCUCCAAGCGCUGACACAGGGGCCGGAGGGGGCGACUUGUGUGUUCAGAGCAUCCCAAAAGCUAGCAGGUCCAGGACUCCUCUCUGAAGACACUGCAGUGGUGAGUCCUGGGGGGCAGAGUGAGGCUGAGCCGCGAGAGAUGCAGAGAGAAAAAAACAGACAAAAUGAGAGAGACACAGAAAGCCAGAGAGACA